GUGCCAGCCGCCGCGGUAAGACGAGGGAUCCUAGCGUUGCUCGGAAUCAUUGGGCGUAAAGCGGGUGUAGGUGGCUUUGUAAGUCAGGUGUGAAAGCCCAGGGCUCAACCCUGGAAGUGCAUUUGAUACUGCGAAGCUUGAGUGUUGGAGAGGUCAUCGGAAUACCUGGUGUAGUGGUGAAAUACGUAGAUAUCAGGUGGAACACCGGAGGCGAAGGCGGGUGACUGGCCAAACACUGACACUGAGACCCGAAAGCGUGGGGAUCAAACAGGAUUAGAAACCCUCGUAGUCC
rnacentral:rRNA from 1 species